AGGUUUUCUGCAUGGCCUCCUGCUUGCUGCUCUCACCGUUGCUGGUAGAUGGCAUCUCUGCUGGGACAGAGGGGCAACUCAUAUUCUGGCCAGACUGGGCAGCACAGCCCCACCUUGACCCACAGUGCUCCAAGGAUACUGCGGCUUCCCAUAUUCCAGAGUGUCAUCCCCAUCCACAUCCAGGUCAGCGUCGCUGUCCGGAUUCUCUUUGCCGCUGCACAUGACGAAGCCAGAGCCUGUGGGAAGCAAGACAUGAAUAGGACCAGGGGCCAAUGAGACUAUACCAAGCAUGCCCCUUCCGUUGCCUCUAGGUAAGGCUUAAGUUUGGGGCCAGAACAAACGCCUGCUUAUUCUGCAAGUCUGACCUAGCUCAGCCAUGCCUCCUGCUAAGAACUCACAGUGCCUAUGCACACAGUUGCUCCAGAAAUACCCCAACAUUCUUUCAACCUUGACUGAGCUCAUCCUCAGUCUGGCCUGGCAUUGGAGACACAAGAGUUUCAAGAUUUGAUCUCCACCCGUGAGGUGCUGAGUGUGAAGACUUCCCCAGGUAUUUCUAUGUAGGUGUCCCUUCCUUGGUGUCCACCCAGACUUCUGUGCAAAUCCAAAGUCAUAUUUAACUACAUGUACUGUCACGGCCCCUCAUCAAACUGCAAGCCCAGGUCGGACUCACUGCUGUGGUCUCAGCAGCAUGCAGCAGAGCUGGCCAGGCCCACAGCAGUGAUGGCUAAAAUGCUGACGGCGCUGUCCUGUCAGGUCCUGAGAGCCCUAUGUCCGAAAGGAGGCGGAGGCCUGAAGCCUCUCAGGAUACAGCCUUCCCUGUCAGACCCCAACCCCAGCUGGGCAGUGAUGACCUGCCAGGCAGGACAGAGAGCAUGGCACAUCUUAACCGCCAAGGAAAAGGCCUGUCUCUGGUUUGUGACCCUGACCCCAUCCCCCCUGUGGAGACAGAUGUUGGGAACCUCUCCCUACCCCACAGGUGUUGAGAACAGGCUGCUACUGCCAAUUUCCCUCUUAUGCUGUCCCAGCCUCCUCCAACCUCCUUCCCAGCACAUUAAACUUUAUUUUCUUAAUGAAAUGUCACUUGCUGACUUCUGGCAGAAUCAUAAUAAAAAGAAACUGCCAUAAAGCCAUUUUAUGCCGACAGCGUUCCCCCAGCCCCUGCUUGGCACCCUCCCCCCACCCCCAGCUUCAAGAGGAGGGCUCCAUAGCCGUUUUAUGUUCUCAGCUGCGGGAACAUCCCAAGCCAGUACUCAGAGGCAAGAUGGCACACACAGCUCCUUUCCAAGCCUCUGGCUCCUGUUCCAUGUAGCUCCGGGGAUAACAAGCAAGCUGCCGCUCCUGCUGCUGCUAUCCAGGGAAGGGACUCAGCUCCCAGGACCUCCAAGAUGACCUGGAGGACCCUUUAGUCACCAGGGGAGGCCCCUUGCUAUGAGUCAACCCCAGUUAAAGUGGCUCAAUGUGCUGAGCUGCUGUCUCUAGGCAAACAAGGCUGCUGGUCAGCGAUGCUCAGCAGAGUGGGUUCUGGGAGGGGAGAAGUGUGAAAAAUCCCUUCCCUCCAAAUGAAUACUUAGCAACAGAGAGGAUUAAGUGCAAAAAUGAUAAGCAAGUCUAAAUUUUAUAAAAAUGACCUCUUCCAUAAACUCAUUUCUUCCUGGGUCAUCAAGGAGAAGAAAAAAAAAAUCAGUGUUAAUUUAAUCAAUUGAUUAGGUGAUCGAUUGAGAAACUGGAGAUGCCCGUUUACUGGGGGCACUAACGUCCUGGAACCCGAAACCACAAAAAAGGAGCCAUCAAUUUCCUCACCUGCUGCUUCUAACAAAACCUGAGCCCAGGGAGAAAGGAAAGUCUUGGGGCCCUUCAGAGGCCAUGCUCUUGGGGAGGGGCGGUGGGGAGAGACAGGGGCAGCAGUUUCCGGAGAGUUUUACACUGGAAUUAGUUACAGAUGCAGUUACGGUGUCUUGUGUAAACGCCAUCGAUUGGGGAGCUGACAGUCUGGGGAGCUGCGAUGCGGGACAAUCAAUCGGCCUGCAGUGUCACCUGCCACCUCGCUGAACAGUUGACAAUGCAAUUAUCCAGUGUGGAGGCAGGGAGUUGGCGUGUGUCAAACGCACUUAGCCACUUUCCGGGCCUCCUCAAUAACGCGUUUCACUGCCUCACGUCAGGAGAGACGCAGAGAGACAGACGCCGUUUAAAACCAUUGAUACUUGCUCCUUCUGCCUGUACUCCCUCUAUCCCAGCUUAACAAUUGUGUUCCAAAAGGCGAUUAAAUCCCCGUCAGUUGCCACAGGGGACAGAAGGUGCCCUGCUCCCCUGCCACCUCUCCUCACCCCUCCCACCAAGCAACAGUUAGAACUAAAGGUGGUAGGAGCUAGAAAGCAGCAGCCCCAGCCCUCCCUGCCCCAAGAUUGCCUCCAGCAGCUGGGGGC